rnacentral:rRNA from 1 species
AUUGAACGCUGGCGGCAGGCCUAACACAUGCAAGUCGAGCGGAUGAAGGGAGCUUGCUCCUGGAUUCAGCGGCGGACGGGUGAGUAAUGCCUAGGAAUCUGCCUGGUAUUUGGGGAUAACGUCCGGAAACGGGCGCUAAUACCGCAUACGUCCUGAGGUAGAAAGUGGGGGAUCUUCGGACCUCACGCUAUCAGAUGAGCCUAGGUCGGAUUAGCUAGUUGGUGGGGUAAAGGCCUACCAAGGCGACGAUCCGUAACUGGUCUGAGAGGAUGAUCAGUCACACUGGAACUGAGACACGGUCCAGACUCCUACGGGAGGCAGCAGUGGGGAAUAUUGGACAAUGGGCGAAAGCCUGAUCCAGCCAUGCCGCGUGUGUGAAGAAGGUCUUCGGAUUGUAAAGCACUUUAAGUUGGGAGGAAGGGCAGUAAGUUAAUACCUCGCUGUUUUGACGUUACCAACAGAAUAAGCACCGGCUAACUUCGUG